ACACGUAGGGGGCAAGCGUUGUCGGGAUUUAUUGGGCGUAAAGAGCUCGUAGGCGGUUUCGUAAGUCGUGUGUGAAAACUCAGGGCUCAACCCUGAGACGCCACUCGAUACUGCGAUGACUAGAGUCCGGUAGAGGAGCAUGGAAUUCCUGGUGUAGCGGUGAAAUGCGCAGAUAUCAGGAGGAACACCAGUAGCGAAGACGGUGCUCUGGGCCGGUACUGACGCUGAGGAGCGAAAGCGUGGGGAGCAAACAGGAUUAGAAACCCCGGUAGUCC
rnacentral:rRNA from 1 species